rnacentral:rRNA from 1 species
AACGGGUGGAGCCUGCGGUUUUAAUUGGAUUCAACGCCGGAAUCUCACCGGGGCGACAGCAAUAUGAAGGUCAGGCUGAAGACCUUACCCGAUUUAGCUGAGAGGUGGUGCAUGGCCGUCGUCAGUUCGUACUGUGAAGCAUCCUGUUAAGUCAGGCAACGAGCGAGACCCACGUCCACAGUUGCCAGCAUACCCUCCGGGGUGAUGGGUACACUGUGGAGACCGCCGCUGCUAAAGCGGAGGAAGGAGUGGGCAACGGUAGGUCAGUAUGCCCCGAAUCUCCCGGGCUACACGCGGGCUACAAUGGUUGGUACAAUGGGCAUCUACCCCGAAAGGGGAAGGAAAUCUCUUAAAGCCAAUCGUAGUUCGGAUUGAGGGCUGCAACUCGCCCUCAUGAAGCUGGAAUCCGUAGUAAUCGCGUUUCAACAGAACGCGGUGAAUACGUCCCUGCUCCUU